UGAUGAUGUAUGGCAUGAAAAUUAUUCUGUGGUUUAUUUUUGCUACUCUCGGCAGCUUUAGAUCCGGAACUUAGCUGCAACUACCUUAGUCAGUGCUGAGCAUUGACGUACGUGGAUGGACAGAAUAGUACUUCUAGAAGAAAUAUUAACAGAAGGGUAUAUUUGGCCAUCAACGCGUACCACCCUAUUUGAGGACCUUCGUCCCAUAACAUCUCACACACAGGUUUGCAUGCUGUUUUUCAUCACAAUACUUUUGGCUAAAUCAACGAAACGGUACCAAAUUCCGCUCGGACUGCCUUCAAUCAAAUAGUUGCUGCUGCAUUCACUCAUCAACCAACUGAUUCAUAACAGAAAUUGCGUUGGGAUGGCCAACGUGAAGAAUUUUGAUAAAAUUUGAAAAGAACUACCUAGUGACACGAUUACGACGUUGAAAAAUAAUUUUAUGACCUAAAAUUGGUUCACGCUCGAUAUCUAAAUGAGCUUUUUGGAUUGUAUAUCACAGUUUAGGUUUUUGAAAAAUAAAUCACUAUGGUUUUUGCUGUCUUUUCAUUCCCUCCGACCAAUAACACAAACACAGAAACAAUUUAAAAUUUGACUAGAU